rnacentral:lncRNA from 1 species
GAGAAAGAUUAAGAAAAGGUUUGUGUGCAAGAUAUACAGUUAGAGAGGGACUUCUGCACUGCAAUCAUUCAUCUAAAAAUACUUUCUACUCAACAAGACACUUACACACAUUAUUUCACUCAACAAGACACUUACACACAUAAUUUCACUCAACAAGACACUUACUCACAUUAUUUCACUCAACAAGACACUUACACACAUUAUUCCACUCAACAAGAUACUUACACACAUUAUUUCACUCAACAAGACACUUACACACAUUAUUUCACUCAACAAGACACUUACACACAUUAUUCCACUCAACAAGACACUUACACACAUUAUUUCACUCAACAAGACAUUAAGGAUGUAUUCUUCUGACUUUUUAGUCUCGUUAAGUCUCGUUGAAAUCUCAUUCUUGAAUUAUUUCCAAAACAUGUGAUACAAGUGGAAAAUAUCAAUGAAUUUUAAAAAUAUUGUAAUCAAACAUAACUCUGUGAAAAAAUUGUGUAUUUACAAUGAACGGUUUUUGAGUAAUCCAGUUUUCAAAUUUUACGACCAAUCAAUUUUGAGAAAAAGGGUUAGGGAUACAAAAAAUGAUUUUACAAGAAUCAUGUACAACUCAUAUUAUUUAAGUCUUUUCAAAUUUCUAAGAUGUUUUUUUUUUUCGAUCAAUUAUAACAAAAAAAGUUGAAAUAAUAUGCAUUUUGUUCUUAAAACUGAGAAAAAUAACAAAAAUACAAAAUUGACAGCAUGGUAAAUUUUACAAAAAAAGCGUCAAAAUAUGAUAAAACUUUCUUAUAUUAACACCUACCUAUAGUUUUUUAAGUAAAAUUUAUUCAGAUAGGCCCACUUCAUCUUUAUAGAAAGUAUGAAAAAAGUUUAAAUUGUGGAACUGUGAUUUUUUUUAUGAUAAUAGCCCAAAAAUAGGUAAAAAUCUAUGAAAAAAGGGAAAAUCAUCAAAAUUGGGCAUUUUCAAAGGGCCAUAGCAAAAAAGGCAAGUGCACCACCCUAUGAUUUUUUCUUCAACAAUUAUUUUGUAACAGUCUUAUAAACUCAAAAAUCAGGUUCAGAAAAAAUGUUUAAUUCUAGAAAUGUUUGGCUCCUCAGAGGUGUACAUCCUUAAACACAUUAUUUCACUCAACAAGACAUUUACUAAAUUCACAAGUCACACACUGUUUCAUACAAUAUCACAACACAUUUAAUAUGGACUAGUUUUUAAAACAACUAUACUCCAUGUGUUCUGCCUCUUCUAAGCCCUAUGUGAAUAUGCAGAGGCAGAUUUAGAGAGGGUCCCCCUUUUCUUGGAAAAAAAUUGGUUGAUAAGAUAGGGAAUCACUGAAGCAUGAC